AUUUGAGAUGAGAACAGAUCUGACGCUACAUGUUCAAAGUUUCAAGUCCACAUGUGUUGAAUGAAGAAAAAAAAAGUCCUGGGUAGAGGUGAUGCUUGAGGAUAUGAAAGAAGAUGAAAGGGAGUAUUCAGAGAAGAAAGGACAGAGAUCAUUGCUGGUUACAGCUUAUCACUUUGCAAGCCUCCAACAACCUCAUAUGCAUCAUUAUGAGGAGAUGAAAAGGAUUAAGAAAGAAGUUUUUGUCAGUGCAGAGAAUGUUAAAAGUUCCCCAGCAACUAAUAUGAAUGGAAAUAAGUACCAUUAUUAUAAACUCAAUAAGGAAGAAAA